AAUGCCGUUUUUGGUUAAUCAAGCAUACUUGAUGGCUAAUGGUUACACAUAUGGAUAAAAUGUCAGCUCCUUCAUCAAGGGAGCGUGCCCAACGCCUCUAUGACAAGGUUAUUGAAUUGGAGAAUAGGUGUCGGAGGUCUGCUCAAGAAAAAAUAUAGAACUUCCUUCAUCUUUGCCCUCUGGCGAACCUUCCUCUCUUAAAGUGCCAUGGACGAGUUAUGGUCCGUCAAACAUUCGAAUAGUCCCAUUUCCAACUGGUGAAUACACUGAUGAUGAGUUCCAGUCCAUCAUAAAAAGUGUCAUGUGUGUACUGCAUCUUUUGGGAUUUCUCUACCCAAUUUCUCGGUUGAUCAGCUAUUCUGUGUUUGAGAAGGAACAGAAGAUAAGAGGUCUUUAUAUGAUGGGGCUGGAAGAUGGGAUAUUCCAUCUCUCAUGGUUUAUUGCAUAUGAUUUGCAGGUUGGUUCUUUGUUCUUUUGUAUUUUUGUUUAAUUUAUGAAGAAGUCUCAGCAAGAAUUCAAUCAAUGUAACCCCAUUUUUUUAAUGAUAUUUUUAUAUUAUAAAUUUAUUAUGUAAA